rnacentral:snoRNA from 1 species
CAGCAUAUGAUGAAUUACUCGGAUUCCCCUUCAAGACAUUAUGGGUGAUGUAGUCACGAGUUUCUGAUGCG